rnacentral:rRNA from 1 species
AUUGAACGCUGGCGGCAGGCCUAACACAUGCAAGUCGAACGAGUGGCGGACGGGUGAGUAAUGUCUGGGAAUCUGCCCGAUGGAGGGGGAUAACCACUGGAAACGGUAGCUAAUACCGCAUACACUCGGAACUGCCCAGAUGGGAAUAGCUAGUAGGUGGGGUAAAGGCUCCCCUAGGCGACGAUCCCUAGCUGGUCUGAGAGGAUGACCAGCCACACUGGAACUGAGACACGGUCCAGACUCCUACGGGAGGCAGCAGUGGGGAAUAUUGCACAAUGGGCGCAAGCCUGAUGCAGCCAUGCCGCGUGUAUGAAGAAGGCCUUCUGGUUGUAAAGUACUUUCAGCGAGGAGGCGUUACUCGCAGAAGAAGCACCGGCUAACUCCGUGCCAGCAGCCGCGGUAAUAC